rnacentral:rRNA from 1 species
AACGUAGGAGGCGAGCGUUAUCCGGAGUUACUGGGCGUAAAGCGCAUGUAGGCGGUUGGAUAAGUUGCGUGUGAAAGCUCCUGGCUAAACUAGGAGAGGACAGGCAAGACUGUUCGGCUAGAGGGUGGUAGAGGGGCACAGAAUUCGGGGUGUAGCGGUGAAAUGUGUAGAGAUCCCGAGGAAUACCAGUGGUGAAGACGGUGCCCUGGGCCAUACCUGACGCUGAGACGCGAAAGCGUGGGGAGCAAACAGG